GUCCCCAUCGUCUAGCCCGGUCUAGGACACCAGGUUUUCAUCCUGGCAACAGGGGUUCGAAUCCCCUUGGGGACGCCA
rnacentral:tRNA from 1 species